rnacentral:rRNA from 1 species
GAUGAACGCUGGCGGCGUGCCUAAUACAUGCAAGUCGAGCGAACGGACGAGAAGCUUGCUUCUCUGAUGUUAGCGGCGGACGGGUGAGUAACACGUGGAUAACCUACCUAUAAGACUGGGAUAACUUCGGGAAACCGGAGCUAAUACCGGAUAAUAUUUUGAACCGCAUGGUUCAAAGGUGAAAGACGGUCUUGCUGUCACUUAUAGAUGGAUCCGCGCUGCAUUAGCUAGUUGGUAAGGUAACGGCUUACCAAGGCAACGAUGCAUAGCCGACCUGAGAGGGUGAUCGGCCACACUGGAACUGAGACACGGUCCAGACUCCUCGGGAGGCAGCAGUAGGGAAUCUUCCGCAAUGGGCGAAAGCCUGACGGAGCAACGCCGCGUGAGUGAUGAAGGUCUUCGGAUCGUAAAACUCUGUUAUUAGGGAAGAACAUAUGUGUAAGUAACUGUGCACAUCUUGACGGUACCUAAUCAGAAAGCCACGGCUAACUACGUG